AACAAACAAGUUCCGCGAGGCAUCACCUAACCACAUAUUCAAUCAAAUAUCAACAGCCGACAAUCUUCCAAAUGCUAUUCUCCACUUUUAUUUGUUCUUAUGUUCUGAACAGUUUCUUUCCUUUAAAAAAAUCCCUCCUAUUGCUUUCAUUUAUACCAACUCAUGUUAAAAAAUCCGACUCUUCUCCUUGGAUUUAGUCCCAGAGUAGCCGAUUCUUCUCUUAACUGCAUCCUACAGAAAGCACCAGAAUCACCCGAGAGCAAGAAAUUCAGAAGAGUCCAUGGCAGGGCAAAAAGGCGAUAAAAUCUCAGGCACUUCAUCAAUCGCGCUCCUUCAAGAGAGAUUCAGACACUUACAGAGAAUGAGGGAGAAAAGAGAGGAAAAGGAACAUCACAGACUGAUCUAUCCAGAGCCUGAUAACACAUUCACCAUGCCAGGAUCAGUGCCUUUCGAGCAAUCCAACAUUAACUUCCAUAAAGACCCGAAUUUUCCAUCAAGAUCAUCCCAGCAAGAGGCAUCACCGCUCCAUCUAGGCCUUGAACUGCACAACAAACACGCGAAUUCAACGUCCUUCAAGAACACUGCCUCUUUAAACUUAUGGUCCAACAAUGCUGCACUACCUGCAUCAACAACAGCAAUGAGCCCAUCAUAUAAUUAUGAUAAAUGGGAUGUCGAUACUUCAUUGCAUUUGUAAACAAUAUCGCCUUUCUAAGCUAUAAUUUUCCAGUCGAGCCUGUUUUGCUUUCCCUUCCAUUUACUGUAAGAAAGAGUAGUGGAAUAAGGUAAUGUAAAAAUAAUAUUGUUUAUAAAACAUUCUCCUCAA